rnacentral:rRNA from 1 species
CGAACGCUGGCGGCAGGCUUAACACAUGCAAGUCGAGCGGCCGUAGCAAUACGGCAGCGGCAGACGGGAGAGUAACACGUGGGAACGUACCCUUCAGUACGGAACAACCAAGGGAAACUUUGGCUAAUACCGUAUACGUCCGUAAGGAGAAAGAUUUAUCGCUGAAGGAUCGGCCCGCGUCUGAUUAGCUAGUUGGUGAGGUAAUGGCUCACCAAGGCUACGAUCAGUAGCUGGUCUGAGAGGAUGAUCAGCCUCACUGGGACUGAGACACGGCCCAGACUCCUACGGGAGGCAGCAGUGGGGAAUAUUGGACAAUGGGCGCAAGCCUGAUCCAGCCAUGCCGCGUGGAUGAUGAAGGCCUUAGGGUUGUAAAGUCCUUUUAACGGGGGAAGAUAAUGACGGUACCCGUAGAAUAAGCCCCGGCUAACUUCGUGCCAGCAG